CUCCAGACUCCUACGGGAGGCAGCAGUGGGGGAUAUUGGACAAUGGGGGAAACCCUGAUCCAGCGACGCCGCGUGAGUGAAGAAGUAUUUCGGUAUGUAAAGCUCUGUCAGCAGGGAAGAAAGAAAUGACGGUACCUGACCAAGAAGCCCCGGCUAACUACGUGCCAGCAGCCGCGGUAAUACGUAGGGGGCAAGCGUUAUCCGGAAUUACUGGGUGUAAAGGGAGCGUAGACGGCGACGCAAGUCUGAAGUGAAAUGCCAGUGCUCAACACUGGAACUGCUUUGGAAACUGUGUGGCUAGAGUGCAGGAGAGGUAAGUGGAAUUCCUAGUGUAGCGGUGAAAUGCGUAGAUAUUAGGAGGAACACCAGUGGCGAAGGCGGCUUACUGGACUGUAACUGACGUUGAGGCUCGAAGGCGUGGGGAGCAAACAGGAUUAGAUACCCUUGUAU
rnacentral:rRNA from 1 species